AUACGAUGAAGAGUUUGAUCCUGGCUCAGGAUGAACGCUAGCGGCAGGCUUAACACAUGCAAGUCGAGGGGUAUAGGUUUUCGGACCUAGAGACCGGCGCACGGGUGCGUAACGCGUAUGCAAUCUACCUUUCACAAAGGGAUAGCCCAGAGAAAUUUGGAUUAAUACCUUAUAGUAAUACGACUUGGCAUCAAGAUGUAUUUAAAGAUUUAUCGGUGAAAGA
rnacentral:rRNA from 1 species